UGGGUGACCUGCCCUCAGCUCUGGGAUAAGCCCGAGAAAUUGGGUCUAAUACCGGAUAUGACCUUUCCUCGCAUGGGGUUUGGUGGAAAGUUUUUUCGGCUGGGGAUGGGCCCGCGGCCUAUCAGCUUGUUGGUGGGGUGAUGGCCUACCAAGGCGACGACGGGUAGCCGGCCUGAGAGGGUGACCGGCCACACUGGGACUGAGACACGGCCCAGACUCCUACGGGA
rnacentral:rRNA from 1 species